GCUCCAGUGGCGCAGUUGGUUAGCGCAUGGUACUUAUAAGACAGUAUUCAUGAUUCAAUUCCAGCAGAUCUGUUGAGAAAUGCCGAGGUCGCGAGUUCGAGCCUCGCCUGGAGCA
rnacentral:tRNA from 1 species